rnacentral:rRNA from 1 species
AGAGUUUGAUCCUGGCUCAGGAUGAACGCUGGCGGCGUGCCUAACACAUGCAAGUUGAGCGAUUUACUUCGGUAAAGAGCGGCGGACGGGUGAGUAACGCGUGGGUAACCUACCCUGUACACACGGAUAACAUACCGAAAGGUAUGCUAAUACGGGAUAAUAUAUUUGAGAGGCAUCUCUUAAAUAUCAAAGGUGAGCCAGUACAGGAUGGACCCGCGUCUGAUUAGCUAGUUGGUAAGGUAACGGCUUACCAAGGCGACGAUCAGUAGCCGACCUGAGAGGGUGAUCGGCCACAUUGGAACUGAGACACGGUCCAAACUCCUACGGGAGGCAGCAGUGGGGAAUAUUGCACAAUGGGCGAAAGCCUGAUGCAGCAACGCCGCGUGAGUGAUGAAGGCCUUCGGGUCGUAAAACUCUGUCCUCAAGGAAGAUAAUGACGGUACUUGAGGAGGAAGCCCCGGCUAACUACGUGCCAGCAGCCGCGGUAAUACGUAGGGGGCUAGCGUUAUCCGGAUUUACUGGGCGUAAAGGGUGCGUAGGCGGUCUUUCAAGUCAGGAGUGAAAGGCUACGGCUCAACCGUAGUAAGCUCUUGAAACUGGGAGACUUGAGUGCAGGAGAGGAGAGUGGAAUUCCUAGUGUAGCGGUGAAAUGCGUAGAUAUUAGGAGGAACACCAGUUGCGAAGGCGGCUCUCUGGACUGUAACUGACGCUGAGGCACGAAAGCGUGGGGAGCAAACAGGAUUAGAUACCCUGGUAGUCCACGCUGUAAACGAUGAGUACUAGGUGUCGGGGGUUACCCCCUUCGGUGCCGCAGCUAACGCAUUAAGUACUCCGCCUGGGAAGUACGCUCGCAAGAGUGAAACUCUAAGGAAUUGACGGGGACCCGCACAAGUAGCGGAGCAUGUGGUUUAAUUCGAAGCAACGCGAAGAACCUUACCUAAGCUUGACAUCCCAAUGACAUCUCCUUAAUCGGAGAGUUCCCUUCGGGGACAUUGGUGACAGGUGGUGCAUGGUUGUCGUCAGCUCGUGUCGUGAGAUGUUGGGUUAAGUCCCGCAACGAGCGCAACCCUUGUCUUUAGUUGCCAUCAUUAAGUUGGGCACUCUAGAGAGACUGCCAGGGAUAACCUGGAGGAAGGUGGGGAUGACGUCAAAUCAUCAUGCCCCUUAUGCUUAUGGCUACACACGUGCUACAAUGGGUAGUACAGAGGGUUGCCAAGCCGUAAGGUGGAGCUAAUCCCUUAAAGCUACUCUCAGUUCGGAUUGUAGGCUGAAACUCGCCUACAUGAAGCUGGAGUUACUAGUAAUCGCAGAUCAGAAUGCUGCGGUGAAUGCGUUCCCGGGUCUUGUACACACCGCCCGUCACACCACGGGAGUUGGAGACGCCCGAAGCCGAUUAUCUAACCUUUUGGAAGAAGUCGUCGAAGGUGGAAUCAAUAACUGGGGUGAAGUCGUAACAAGGUAGCCGUAUCGGAAGGUGCGGCUGGAUCACCU